CUCCGCCGGCGACCGGCGCACGGGUGAGUAACACGUAUGCAACCUGCCCUGUCAGGGGACAACCCGCCGAAAGGCGGGCUAAACCCGCGUACAUGCCACCGGGGCAUCCCGGAGGCAGGAAAGGCUUCGGCCGGACAGGGAUGGGCAUGCGGCGCAUUAGGCAGUAGGCGGGGUAACGGCCCACCUAACCGACGAUGCGUAGGGGUUCUGAGAGGAAGGUCCCCCACACUGGUACUGAGACACGGACCAGACUCCUACGGGAGGCAGCAG
rnacentral:rRNA from 1 species